UACAGAGGGCUCAAGCGUUGUUCGGAUUCAUUGGGCGUAAAGGGUGCGUAGGUGGCGCUGUAAGUCGGGUGUGAAAUUUCGGAGCUUAACUCCGAAACUGCAUUCGAUACUGCGGUGCUUGAGGACUGGAGAGGAGACUGGAAUUCAUGGUGUAGCAGUGAAAUGCGUAGAGAUCAUGAGGAAGGCCAGUGGCGAAGGCGGGUCUCUGGACAGUUCCUGACACUGAGGCACGAAGGCCAGGGGAGCAAACGGG
rnacentral:rRNA from 1 species